rnacentral:ncRNA from 1 species
AAGAAGACGUAAAAAUAUCGUAUAAUCCUUCAGAUACGGUGAAGGAGUCUCUACCUCGGUGCCGUAAACAUCGAGACUAUGAUAGGAUA